GAUGAACGCUGGCGGCAUGCCUAACACAUGCAAGUCGAACGAGACCUUCGGGUCUAGUGGCGCACGGGUGCGUAACGCGUGGGAAUCUGCCCUUGGGUUCGGAAUAACAGUUAGAAAUGACUGCUAAUACCGGAUGAUGACUUCGGUCCAAAGAUUUAUCGCCCAGGGAUGAGCCCGCGUAGGAUUAGCUUGUUGGUGAG
rnacentral:rRNA from 1 species